rnacentral:rRNA from 1 species
UCGUCACACUAUCAUUAACUGAAUCCAUAGGUUAAUGAGGCGAACCGGGGGAACUGAAACAUCUAAGUACCCCGAGGAAAAGAAAUCAACCGAGAUUCCCCCAGUAGCGGCGAGCGAACGGGGAGGAGCCCAGAGCCUGAAUCAGCAUGUGUGUUAGUGGAAGCGUCUGGAAAGGCGCGCGAUACAGGGUGACAGCCCCGUACACAAAAGCGCAUGUGCUGUGAGCUCGAUGAGUAGGGCGGGACACGUGGUAUCCUGUCUGAAUAUGGGGGGACCAUCCUCCAAGGCUAAAUACUCCUGACUGACCGAUAGUGAACCAGUACCGUGAGGGAAAGGCGAAAAGAACCCCGGCGAGGGGAGUGAAAAAGAACCUGAAACCGUGUACGUACAAGCAGUGGGAGCACAGGUUUACCUGUGUGACUGCGUACCUUUUGUAUAAUGGGUCAGCGACUUAUAUUCUGUAGCAAGGUUAACCGAAUAGGGGAGCCGGAGGGAAACCGAGUCUUAAUUGGGCGUUAAGUUGCAGGGUAUAGACCCGAAACCCGGUGAUCUAGCCAUGGGCAGGUUGAAGGUUGGGUAACACUA